GACGGGGGGUCCUAGCGUUGUUCGGAAUCAUUGGGCGUAAAGCGGGCGUAGGUGGCUAUGUAAGUCAGGAGUGAAAGCCCUGGGCUCAACCCAGGAAGUGCUUUUGAAACUGCGUAGCUUGAGUGUGGAAGAGGAUAGUGGAAUUCCUGGUGUAGUGGUGAAAUACGUAGAUAUCAGGAGGAACACCGGCGGCGAAGGCGGCUAUCUGGGCUGCAACUGACGCUGAGGCGCGAAGGCUAGGGUAGCAAACAGG
rnacentral:rRNA from 1 species